GAAAGGUAGCCGAAUAGUCUCCGUAUGGUGGCGUGCCAUGACAAGCACAUGGAUAGGCUACCUUUCGCCU
rnacentral:sRNA from 23 species